GGUUAAGCGACUAAGCGUACACGGUGGAUGCCCUGGCAGUCAGAGGCGAUGAAGGACGUGCUAAUCUGCGAUAAGCGUCGGUGAGGUGAUAUGAACCGUUAUAACCGGCGAUUUCCGAAUGGGGAAACCCAGUGUGUUUCGACACACUAUCAUUAACUGAAUCCAUAGGUUAAUGAGGCGAACCGGGGGAACUGAAACAUCUAAGUACCCCGAGGAAAAGAAAUCAACCGAGAUUCCCCCAGUAGCGGCGAGCGAACGGGGAGGAGCCCAGAGCCUGAAUCAGUGUGUGUGUUAGUGGAAGCGUCUGGAAAGGCGUGCGAUACAGGGUGACAGCCCCGUACACAAAAAUGCACAUAUUGUGAGCUCGAUGAGUAGGGCGGGACACGUGGUAUCCUGUCUGAAUAUGGGGGGACCAUCCUCCAAGGCUAAAUACUCCUGACUGACCGAUAGUGAACCAGUACCGUGAGGGAAAGGCGAAAAGAACCCCGGCGAGGGGAGUGAAAAAGAACCUGAAACCGUGUACGUACAAGCAGUGGGAGCCUCUUAAUGGGGUGACUGCGUACCUUUUGUAUAAUGGGUCAGCGACUUAUAUUCUGUAGCAAGGUUAACCGAAUAGGGGAGCCGAAGGGAAACCGAGUCUUAACUGGGCGUUAAGUUGCAGGGUAUAGACCCGAAACCCGGUGAUCUAGCCAUGGGCAGGUUGAAGGUUGGGUAACACUAACUGGAGGACCGAACCGACUAAUGUUGAAAAAUUAGCGGAUGACUUGUGGCUGGGGGUGAAAGGCCAAUCAAACCGGGAGAUAGCUGGUUCUCCCCGAAAGCUAUUUAGGUAGCGCCUCGUGAAUUCAUCUCCGGGGGUAGAGCACUGUUUCGGCAAGGGGGUCAUCCCGACUUACCAACCCGAUGCAAACUGCGAAUACCGGAGAAUGUUAUCACGGGAGACACACGGCGGGUGCUAACGUCCGUCGUGAAGAGGGAAACAACCCAGACCGCCAGCUAAGGUCCCAAAGUCAUGGUUAAGUGGGAAACGAUGUGGGAAGGCCCAGACAGCCAGGAUGUUGGCUUAGAAGCAGCCAUCAUUUAAAGAAAGCGUAAUAGCUCACUGGUCGAGUCGGCCUGCGCGGAAGAUGUAACGGGGCUAAACCAUGCACCGAAGCUGCGGCAGCGACACUAUGUGUUGUUGGGUAGGGGAGCGUUCUGUAAGCCUGUGAAGGUGGCCUGUGAGGG
rnacentral:rRNA from 1 species